rnacentral:rRNA from 1 species
UACAGAGGGGGCAAGCGUUAUUCGGAAUUAUUGGGCGUAAAGGGCGCGUAGGCGGCUUGGCAAGUGGAUGGUGAAAUCCCUCGGCUUAACCGAGGAACUGCCGUCCAAACUGCUUUGCUUGAGACCGGGAGAGGUGAGUGGAAUUCCCGGUGUAGCGGUGAAAUGUGUAGAGAUCGGGAGGAACACCGGUGGCGAAGGCGGCCUUCUGGACGGUGACUGACGCUGAGGCGCGAAAGCGUGGGGAGCAAACGGG